ensembl:lncRNA
GAAAAACGGACGCAGAGUUUGCCCUGUCUCAUUUAUUUCUCCUGUUUCCAGAUGACCAGGGGAACGCUGCCUGUGUAGCUUCUGGUUCACCUCAUCUCCCAGACUCGGUUACUCAAGGUUUCUGUGUUUCAUCAAGGUGGUGUGUGAAGAGACCAUGGUCUGUGGAGGAGGUACAAGCUGUGAUAAAACAUAUGAGGCCUUUUAUUGAAAAUGGUGUCACUGUCACCAGUGAGCAGUGCCUGAUGUGCAAGGAAAAGGAACAACCUAUCUUGGAGACAAGAUCCAUUCAAAACAUUAGAGAUUUUGUACGCAACAGAGGCUUGGCCUUUAAAAGGCAUUCAAAUGCUAAACACUAAAUGCACUUUUGGACAGCCUGAGCCUUUACCUUUCUAGGCAUGUUUUAAAAGUUGGUGUCCUGUGUUCAGAAAUGGUUUAGGUAACUUCAUUUAUUUUACUCACAGGCUGUGUUUUGUUUUGUUUGUUUUGCUAUGUGGUUAGCCCGGGCCUUUUAAUGUCAGGAUUCACUUAUUUUCCUUUAAUAAUUUUUACAAUGCUGCCCUUUUGUUAAGGAAUUGAUUCUUGAGGUGACUAAAUCAAAUAUAGUUCAUUGAUUCAACAAAUGUUGUGUUGUGUGUUAACAAUG